rnacentral:rRNA from 1 species
UACAGAGGUCUCAAGCGUUGUUCGGAUUCAUUGGGCGUAAAGGGCGCGUAGGCGGCGGGGCAAGUCGGGUGUGAAAUCUCAGGGCUCAACCCUGAAACUGCACUCGAUACUGCUCUGCUUGAGGACUGGAGAGGAGACUGGAAUUCACGGUGUAGCAGUGAAAUGCGUAGAUAUCGUAAGGAAGACCAGUGGCGAAGGCGGGUCUCUGGACAGUUCCUGACGCUGAGGCACGAAGGCCAGGGGAGCAAACGGG